rfam:Phormidium ambiguum IAM M-71 NIES-2119_Scaffold_3, whole genome shotgun sequence.
GGGAAUGUCGCCUAAAGGAUGGGGCAUCGAUCUUCUAAAUCGAUUGGUGUAGGUUCAAGUCCUACCAUUCCCG